rnacentral:rRNA from 1 species
GACGAACGCUGGCGGCGUGCUUAACACAUGCAAGUCGAACGGAAAGGCCCUGCUCUUGUGGGGUUCUCGAGUGGCGAACGGGUGAGUAACACGUGAGGAACCUGCCCUUGACUUUGGGAUAACUUCAGGAAACUGGGGCUAAUACCGGAUAGGAGCUCCUGCUGCAUGGUGUGGGUUGGAAAGUUUCGGCGGUUGUGGAUCGACUCGCGGCUUAUCAGCUUGUUGGUGGGGUAGUGGCUUACCAAGGCUUUGACGGGUAGCCGGCCUGAGAGGGUGACCGGCCACAUUGGGACUGAGAUACGGCCCAGACUCCUACGGGAGGCAGCAGUGGGGAAUAUUGCACAAUGGGCGGAAGCCUGAUGCAGCAACGCCGCGUGCGGGAUGACGGCCUUCGGGUUGUAAACCGCUUUCGCCGGUGACGAAGCGUGAGUGACGGUAAUGGGUAAAGAAGCACCGGCUAACUACGUG